rnacentral:rRNA from 1 species
UUCCUACGGGACGCAGCAGUAGGGAAUCUUCCACAAUGGGCGAAACCCUGAUGCAGCGAUGCCGCGUGGAGGAAGAAGGUUUUCGGAUUGUAAACUCCUUUUAUCAGGGACGAUAAUGACGGUACCUGAAGAAAAAGCUCCGGCUAACUACGUGCCAGCAGCCGCGGUAAUACGUAGGGAGCGAGCGUUGUCCGGAAUUACUGGGUGUAAAGGGAGCGUAGGCGGGACGGCAAGUCAGAUGUGAAAACUGAGGGCUCAACCUUCAGACUGCAUUUGAAACUGCUGUUCUUGAGUGAAGUAGAGGU